rfam:Bacillus galactosidilyticus strain PL133 scaffold000133, whole genome shotgun sequence.
UAUAUAUGAUGAACAGCUAAACUCACGCCGUCCUGGCGCAACGCUGUUCUGACCAACAUCCUGUUGG